CCGGGAAACUGGGGCUAAUACCAGAUAGGCGAGGACGCCUGGAAUGGUUCUUCACUCAAAGGGCUUUGGAAACAUGCUUUUCAAAGUCGCCUGGGGAUGGGGCCGCGUCCGAUCAGGUUGCUGGUGAGGUAAUGGCUCACCAAGCCUAUAACCGGUACGGGCCGUGAGAGCGGUAGCCCGGAGAUGGGCACUAAUACAAGGGCCCAUGCCCUACGGGGCGCAGCAGUCGCGAAAACUCCGCAAUGCACGAAAGUGUGACGGGGCUACCCCGAGUGCCGUCCGCUGAGGAUGGCUUUUCCUCUGUGUAACUAGCCGGGGGAAUAAGGAGAGGGCAAGACUGGUGUCAGCCGCCGCGGUAAUACCAGCUCUCCGAGUUGUAGGGAUGAUUAUUGGGC
rnacentral:rRNA from 1 species